ensembl:rRNA 5S_rRNA 5S ribosomal RNA
GCUUGCGGCCAUACCUCCCUGUCUGCGCCCGAUCUUGUCUGAUCUCAGAAGCUAAGCAUGGUCGGGCCUGGUUAGUACUUGGAUGGGUGACCGCCUCUGAAUACCAGGUUCUGUAAGCU